UCUCCGUAGGUGAACCUGCGGAGGGAUCAUUAAGAAUUGAACAGCAGUGUCUGGCACUGUUGCCCAUUCUAACCCUUUGUGAACUACAACUCUGUUGCUUCGGGGGCGACCCUGCCGUCCGCGGCUGAGCGCCCCCGGUGGCCAAUUAUUAAACUCUGCAUCUCUUGCGUCGGAGUCUUAAAGAAAUUUAAACAAAACUUUCAACAACGGAUCUCUUGGUUCUGGCAUCGAUGAAGAACGCAGC
rnacentral:misc_RNA from 1 species